UACGGAGGGAGCUAGCGUUGUUCGGAAUUACUGGGCGUAAAGCGUGCGCAGGCGGUGAGCUGUGUCCGAUGUGAAAGCCCCGGGCUUAACCUGGGAAUGGCAUUGGAAACUGGCUCGCUGGAGUUUGGCAGAGGGGGUGGAAUUCCACGUGUAGCAGUGAAAUACGUAGAGAUGUGGAGGAACACCGAUGGCGAAGGCAGCCCCCUGGGCCAAAACUGACGCUCAGGCACGAAAGCGUGGGGAGCAAACAGG
rnacentral:rRNA from 1 species